rnacentral:rRNA from 1 species
CCUACGGGAAGCAGCAGUGGGGAAUUUUGGACAAUGGGCGCAAGCCUGAUCCAGCAAUGCCGCGUGCAGGAUGAAGGCCUUCGGGUUGUAAACUGCUUUUGUACGGAACGAAACGGCGAGCUCUAAUAAAGUUCGCUAAUGACGGUACCGUAAGAAUAAGCACCGGCUAACUACGUGCCAGCAGCCGCGGUAAUACGUAGGGUGCAAGCGUUAAUCGGAAUUACUGGGCGUAAAGCGUGCGCAGGCGGUGAUGUAAGACAGAUGUGAAAUCCCCGGGCUCAACCUGGGACCUGCAUUUGUGACUGCAUCGCUAGAGUACGGUAGAGGGGGAUGGAAUUCCGCGUGUAGCAGUGAAAUGCGUAGAUAUGCGGAGGAACACCGAUGGCGAAGGCAAUCCCCUGGACCUGUACUGACGCUCAUGCACGAAAGCGUGGGGAGCAAACAGGAUUAGAUACCCUGGUAGUCCACGCCCUAAACGAUGUCAACUGGUUGUUGGGUCUUCACUGACUCAGUAACGAAGCUAACGCGUGAAGUUGACCGCCUGGGGAGUACGGCCGCGAAGGUUGAAACUCAAAGGAAUUGACGG